rnacentral:lncRNA from 1 species
UCUGGCCGAUCUCCUGCUUGUGCUCUUGUGCGGGUUGCUUUCUGGCUUUCUUCUGUUGGUCUUCGGUUGGUGGUCUACCUGUCUUCUUCCUUCUCGAUUUCACGGAUGCCCUGUGCUGCUUCAGUUGGUAAGGAGGUAUUCAUCUUGAUUUUUUGCCGAGGGUUGAGAAAGGUAUCUUCACCUCAGGUAUUAUUUUAUCUUGAUCUAUUGUCGAGGUUGAGA